GUGGCCUCCAAGAUCGGGGCGGGGUCUCCUGAUGAGGGCGGGCUGGCUGCGGAGAGACAGGACUAGGCGGCCCACCCCCGUCUCCAGCUCAAGAGAUGACGAAAUAAAGGUUCAGAGAGGCCGGACAGGUGGAGCCAAGAACUGAGCCUGAGACCAUGUGAUCGAACAAUCCCCUUUACAGGACUCCCCCCAUACAUGUAAGAACCUUUAUAGGACUCCCCAUAUACAUAUACACACGCCCAACCUUGACCCUCAAGAGGCAGGUAUCAGGGCUGAAAGGAGAGCCUGGUUCUCACCAUGACCCAGGCUCAUCUCCCACUCCUCCCUGCACCCCUCUUCAGCAGGGGUUGCCAAACUAUGGCCUCUGGGCUGCUGCUUUGAUAAAUAAAGUUUUAUUGGAACAGA